CCUACGGGCGGCAGCAGUGGGGGAUAUUGCACAAUGGGGGGAACUCUGAUGCAGCGACGCCGCGUGGGUGAAGGAGCGUUUCGGCGCGUAAAGCCCUAUCGGCAGGGAUGAAGGCGGACGGUACCUGACUAAGACGCCCCGGCUAACUACGUGCCAGCAGCCGCGGUACUACGUAGGGGGCAAGCGUUAUCCGGAUGUACUGGGUGUAAAGGGGGCGCAGACGGCGGUGCAAGACAGGAGUGAAAGCCCGGGGCUCAACCCCGGGACUGCUCUGGGAACUGCGCGGCGUGAGUGCAGGAGGGGCAAGUGGAAUUCCUGGUGUAGCGGUGGAAUGCGUAGAUAUCAGGAGGAACACCAGUGGCGAAGGCGGCCUGCUGGACUGCGACUGACGUUGAGGCCCGAAAGCGUGGGGAGCAAACAGGAUUAGAUACCCUUGUAGUC
rnacentral:rRNA from 1 species